rnacentral:piRNA from 1 species
UGCCUGAGAAUAUGCACUCAGUUGAGUGUGGU